AGAGUUUGAUCCUGGCUCAGAACGAACGCUGGCGGCGUGCUUAACACAUGCAAGUCGAGUGCGCGUGCCGUAGCAAUACGGCAUGGCGCACGGCGCACGGGUGCGUAACACGUGGGCAAUCUGCCCUUCGAUGGGGAAUAACCUCGCGAAAGCGAGGCUAAUUCCGCAUAACAUUCCUUGGACUUCGGUUCGAGGACUCAAAGCCGUAAGGCGUCGAAGGAGGAGCCCGCGCACGAUUAGCUAGUUGGUAGGGUAACGGCCUACCAAGGCUUUGAUCGUUAGCUGGUCUGAGAGGAUGGCCAGCCACACUGGAACUGAGACACGGUCCAGACUCCUACGGGAGGCAGCAGUGGGGAAUCUUGCACAAUGGGCGAAAGCCUGAUGCAGCGACGCCGCGUGGGGGAUGAAGCAUUUCGGUGUGUAAACCCCUUUCGACCCGGACGAAUGCCUCGCAAGAGGAGUGACGGUACGGGUAUAAGAAGCCCCGGCUAACUACGUGCCAGCAGCCGCGGUAAGACGUAGGGGGCCAGCGUUGUUCGGAAUUACUGGGUGUAAAGGGUUCGUAGGCGGUGUGGCAAGUUGGGAGUGAAAUCUCUGGGCUCAACCCAGAGGCUGCUUCCAAAACUGCCGUGCUUGAGUGUGGGAGAGGCGCGUGGAAUUGCAGGUGUAGCGGUGAAAUGCGUAGAUAUCUGCAGGAACACCCGUGGCGAAAGCGGCGCGCUGGACCACUACUGACGCUGAGGAACGAAAGCUAGGGGAGCAAACAGGAUUAGAUACCCUGGUAGUCCUAGCCCUAAACGAUCAGGACUUGGGGUGCCACCCGUUCGGGUGUCGUCCCGGAGCUAACGCGUUAAGUCCUGCACCUGGGGAGUACGGUCGCAAGACUGAAACUCAAAGGAAUUGACGGGGGCCCGCACAAGCGUG
rnacentral:rRNA from 1 species